AUUGAACGCUGGCGGCAUGCUUUACACAUGCUAGUCGAACGGUAGAGGGGGCAACCCCUUGAGAGUGGCGAACGGGUGAGUAAUGCAUCGGAACGUGCCCAGUCGUGGGGGAUAGCCCAGGGAAACCCGGAUUAAUACCGCAUACGACCUGAGGGUGAAAGCGGGGGACCGAAAGGCCUCGCGCGAUUGGAGCGGCCGAUGUCGGAUUAGGUAGUUGGUGGGGUAAAGGCCUACCAAGCCUGCGAUCCGUAGCUGGUCUGAGAGGACGACCAGCCACACUGGGAAUGAGACACGGCCCAGACUCCUACGGGAGGCAGCAGUGGGGAAUUUUGGACAAUGGGCGCAAGCCUGAUCCAGCCAUGCCGCGUGCGGGAAGAAGGCCUUCGGGUUGUAAACCGCUUUUGUUAGGGAAGAAAUCCUUUGGACUAAUACUCUGGGGGGAUGACGGUACCUGAAGAAUAAGCACCGGCUAACUACGUGCCAGCAGCCGCGGUAA
rnacentral:rRNA from 1 species